rnacentral:rRNA from 1 species
AGCGAACGCUGGCGGCGUGCCUAACACAUGCAAGUCGAACGUGAAAGGGGGCAAUCCCAAGUAAAGUGGCGUACGGGUGAGUAACACGUAGGUAAUCUACCCCAGAAUCUGGAAUAACCGGCCGAAAGGCUGGCUAAUACUGGAUAGAGCGACGGAAUCCGUAAUUGGGUUUUUCGGGAAAGGGAGCCUGUAAAAAGGCCUUCGUUCUGGGAUGAGCCUGCGUCCCAUCAGCUAGUUGGUGAGGUAAAAGCUUACCAAGGCAAUGACGGGUAGCUGGUCUGAGAGGACGAUCAGCCACACUGGAACUGAAACACGGUCCAGACUCCUACGGGAGGCAGCAGUGGGGAAUCUUGCGCAAUGGACGAAAGUCUGACGCAGCAACGCCGCGUGAGUGAAGAAGGCCUUCGGGUUGUAAAGCUCUGUCGAGUGGGACGAAAAUGCUUGGAGUUCACAGCUCCAGGAACUGACGGUACCACUAAAGGAAGCACCGGCUAACUCCGUG